rnacentral:RNase_P_RNA from 1 species
UCAGCUGGCCGGGCGGCCGCGGUUGCAAGUGCCGAAAGGCCGCAAUCGAGGAAAGUCCGGGCUCCACGGAAACACGGUGCCGGGCAACGCCCGGCGGGGGAAACCCCAGGGAAAGCGCCACAGAAAGCAAACCGCCCCGCCUGCAUUCCGGCUCAACCGCUCCUGCGCGGUCAAUCGAGCCUGAAUGCUGGCGGGGCAAGGGUGAAAGGGUGGGGUAAGAGCCCACCGCGCGGGCAGCAAUGUCGGCGGCACGGCAAGCCCCACCGGGAGCAAGACCGAAUAGGGACGAUGCGGCGAAAGCCAGGGCUGUUUCCGGCCCCAGUCGUCCGGGUUGGUUGCUUGAGGCGUCCGGCAACGGGCGUCCCAGAGGAAUGGUCGCCACGUCCAUGCUCUCGCGGGCAUGGGCCAUACAGAACCCGGCUUACAGGCCGGCUGACAUU